GCGCAAAGGCCCCACGUGUUCCGACCUGCUAGGCCCCGCGCGGCUCGGAUCCGGCGGCGCUGUUUCGGUCGGGAGUCCGUGGGAGAGAAGCCGGGGCAGGGGAGGAGCCGCCGGAGCUGUCGGAGCCGUGACACCCAGGGCAGCUACACUCAGAAGCCACAAGGAAUGCUAGUGGAGCCCCUCAUCCCUCCCAGCUUCUCUUCCAAGCUGCCCCGUGGGGCUUGAUCCAGGAAGCUACUUCAGAAAGCUAUACCCUUUUUGUACUCUGUGUAUAUACUAUAUUGCAGUAGACAAUCAUUCCAAGGGUACAACAAGGUUUACCACAAUGUGAGGGACUCAGCCAUUGCAAAUUGUACAGAUGAGGGCCCUUGGAAGAAAAUCCUCGCUGUGUCCAGGCUGAGGCGGGGGGCUAAUGACAGUGUGAGCUCUAGAUGGUGUGAGACCACCCCAAAGCCAAGAAAUGGCUACAGCCGUGGAACCAGAGGACCAGGAUCUUUGGGAAGAAGAGGGAAUUCUGAUGGUGAAACUGGAAGAUGAUUUC
rnacentral:sRNA from 1 species